rnacentral:tRNA from 1 species
GUUGGGAGACGUGCUGGUCUAAUGGUUAGCGCGUUGGACUCCGGAUCGAGCGGUCUGGGUUCGAGCCCUGGCCUGGGCG